rnacentral:rRNA from 1 species
AGCGAACGCUGGCGGCAGGCCUAACACAUGCAAGUCGAACGAACCUUUCGGGGUUAGUGGCGGACGGGUGAGUAACACGUGGGAACGUGCCUUUAGGUUCGGAAUAACUCAGGGAAACUUGUGCUAAUACCGAAUGUGCCCUUCGGGGGAAAGAUUAAUCGCCUUUAGAGCGGCCCGCGUCUGAUUAGCUAGUUGGUUGAGGUAAUGGCUCACCAAGGCGACGAUCAGUAGCUGGUCUGAGAGGAUGAUCAGCCACAUUGGGACUGAGACACGGCCCAAACUCCUACGGGAGGCAGCAGUGGGGAAUCGUGCGCAAUGGGCGAAAGCCUGACGCAGCCAUGCCGCGUGAAUGAUGAAGGUCUUAGGAUAGUAAAAUUCUUUCACCGGGGACGAUAAUGACGGUACCCGGAGAAGAAGCCCCGGCUAACUUCGUG